AUCCGCCCCCGCCCAAGACAUACCUACCACCGGUGGCUACAUCCUACAGGUAGUGAGCGACGGAGAUGGCAACAUUCCCCGGUUAACCUGUAGCUUCAAGGCCGCCUCGCGUGUGUGAGAGACGGCGGCAGCCGGAGCGAGGGCAUGUGCGGCGACAGCAGCAACGAUUACCCGCUUCUCUGUAGCUUUGGGGCCGCCUCGCGCGAGUGAGCGAUGGCGAUAACCGGAGCGAGGGAGUGCACGGCGGCAGCGGCGACGAUUCCCCCCAGUUGUCCUGUUUCUUCUGAGGCCUCCUCGCGCUAGCUAGCUGCGGAUUUCGAGCGACGAAGUCGAGCGACAAGACUACAGUAGCUCCUGGGCCCAUGACGGGGAUGAAGCCAGUGACGUCAACAGCAGACUUGGGUACGAUUCCCUUAACAUCGCGGCUUGGGGACGAACUCCGCCGCACCUACAUCAGUCCUCGCCGGCGUCAAGCUGCCACGCAGACGCGGAGUGGAGGACCGCGAACCCAGAUGGCCGCGACGUGGUCCUUCGGCCCUGCCUCACUGGGGCGUGGUCUUUCAGCGUCGAGCAACCUCAGCUGGGAGGCAUUGAGGGGCGCGUGGCUCUGGUGCUGCGCACUGGCGGCGGUAGUCGGCAUCGGCAGUAAGCUCGUGGUCUUCAUCCCCUCCCUGUCUUCCCCUUUGACUCUCUCAUACUCUGAACCGUCCGCCACAUGGAAAGCAACGCACAGGCAGCAGUGCAUCGAGGAAGCAUGAGUUAUAGACGGCCAUUCGAGUUCCUCUACAAGCAGCAGUUGGACGACAGUUAAUUGGUGCUCUCCCCAUCCCCCAUUGUUGCAGUUCUUCCGCAACAGCUAGUUGUCGUUCGUGUGGCAGUUAGUAUUUUGUCAUGGGGCAGUUAGAGAAUAAUAGUUAGCUGUGUUAAAUUAAAGUGUUAACUGAUGUAUUGACCUUGUUAACUGCAGAAUUUGGCCCCUGUUCUCUCUUCAGUCAAAUUUAUUUUAGUGAUUUCUAUUAGCUUGCUGAUUUUCAUCCGUUGGUGCGUUGAAAACAAAAGAAGUUAACUUUUUUUGCUUCUGUAAUAGUUAACUAUGGAAUUUGCAUAAGUUAUUAAAAACAGGAAAAGUUAACACAUCGGUCUGCUGUUGUGUUGUCACCACGGUGUCGGUGCCGCACAAUCUGAUGCUCUUGCUGUUAAAAAUAAAUGUAGCUAACUUCAGUUAAUCUGAUGCUCUUGCAUAAGCGCCGGCAAGGACGUCUCAUCAUCGAUGAUGCUGUCUAUCGCCAGAGUCAACCGGGUUUGUCGAAUGCAGGCUCGUGCAAAAGCUUCUAUCCGCGGGUAGCAACUAGCAAGCAGUUAAUUGGAGUUUAACAAGCAGCAGUUAUCCAACGGUUUCAUUUGGAGCUUAACAGGCAGCAUUCAGCAAGCAGUUUUUUUUCCUGAUGCAGUUAUCUACAGAAACAAAAAUGAUGCGGCUCGUUAGUAAAUUUGAUCUAAAUCACUAAAUGAGCUGAAUAGGUAAGGUUCUGUUUAUUCUGUGAAAAGAAUGCGAGCGUACAGUGUGUUUUGGAUCCUCCCAGGGGCUCUAAUCCAUGUUUUAUGUAUUAGAAAUAGAUAUGUGUGCCUUAUGUUAUUUAGGCAGUAUCUAAAAUAGAAGUUAGAUUUUGUGCUUCUAUUGCAGAUAACCAGGCCAUCAGGGGCAUUCCACACAACCCAAACUGCUCGCUCUGCUCGACAACGCCGAAAACGGCUGCUCACCUGCUGGCAGCCUACCCCUUCUCGGCAGAGGUUUGGAACUGCAUCAACAACAAGCUGGGACACCCGUUCUCCAUGCUACGGAUGGCGACACUAGCAACCACCAGGGGCCGAUCCCUCAAAGCAUCAUGGACAUGAUAGCUCUAGGCACUGCCGGCUCUGGUGCACAGGAAGACGACCAUUUGCGUUGGUGCAUAGAUGUUGUGGAAGGAACGCAAUGCCCGCAUCUUCAACAACACUCGGUGCACGCCCAAUCAGUCGUAUCAUGGGUGAAGCAAGGUGUUGGUUGGCGGCCGGGAUUCACCAGCUGGACGGGAUAUUCGAGCCACCAUCAUUUCUAUUACAUGUUUGGUCUUGUACUGUAGGACGCUGCCCCAAAUGAAAUUCGGGCAGAUUGUAAUCUCGCUUUAAUUGCCACUUCCCUUACUUUGUACUUUUUUC
rnacentral:rRNA from 1 species